ensembl:snoRNA Small nucleolar RNA SNORD10
GUAUAAUGAUGAUAACCAUGCGUGUCAGCUGACUCUGUAACCCUCUGCUUUGUUGUUGCUGUGGUCGGCGUUUUGUUGGCCAGAGUUUUCAUCACAGCAGAGCUGCAGAGACGUGAUCAUAUUUCACUACUUCUGAAUAC